UGGCUGUUUAAUUGUUUUUUUUUUUAUAAGUGCUGGCAUAUUAAUAAAGCUGCUGAGGAUGAACUGCAGGAUUGAAUUUCAGAAGCAGGUUUAAGGUUUAAUGAAUAUCAAAUCCUGGAAAGCUGUCCUUUAGGAGCCUGCAGCUUUGGUUCUGAAGUCAUCAAUUAUCAUCCUGUGAGGAACACAUGAACGGUACAGAUGGCGCCCAUUUGGAGAACACUCUCUUUUUUUGUCUUUUUAUUACCAGCAGUUCAUGCCCAAGGUGAGUGAUGAAUGUAAUUAUAUCAAAACGUAUCAGCUAAGCGGCUAUGGGUAUCUGGUGCCUGAGGAGCUCCAUAGGUGGCUAACCCAAUGCAGGCAUUGCAGGUGACCUCAAAACACACAGUAG